UACGUAGGGGGCGAGCGUUGUCCGGAUUUAUUGGGCGUAAAGAGCGUGUAGGCGGUUCGGUAAGUCUGUCGUGAAAUCCUGAGGCUCAACCUCGGGCGUGCGAUGGAUACUGCCGGGCUAGAGGGUGGUAGAGGCGAGUGGAAUUCCCGGUGUAGCGGUGAAAUGCGUAGAUAUCUGGAGGAACACCGGUGGCGAAGGCGGCAUCCUGGACCGAUAUUGACGCUGAUGCGCGAAAGCCAGGGGAGCAAACGGG
rnacentral:rRNA from 1 species